rnacentral:snoRNA from 1 species
UGCCUCUUAGGGUGGUACCUGGAGAGUUUCCAGUCCUCUACCAGUCUCGACCACGGGAGGGAGAGUCAAGCGCAGGCAUAUCCAUUCCAUUCCUAGCUUGGCCAGUGGCUAACGAUUGGAAGGCCAUCUGCUACAAAU